CCUACGGGAGGCAGCAGUAGGGAAUAUUGCUCAAUGGGGGAAACCCUGAAGCAGCAACGCCGCGUGGAGGAUGAAGGUUUUCGGAUUGUAAACUCCUUUUGUUAUAGAAGAUAAUGACGGUAUCUAACGAAUAAGCACCGGCUAACUCCGUGCCAGCAGCCGCGGUAAUACGGAGGGUGCAAGCGUUACUCGGAAUCACUGGGCGUAAAGAGCGCGCAGGCGGGAUUGCAAGUCAGAUGUGAAAUCCUUUGGCUUAACCAUAGAACUGCAGUUGAAACUGUUAUUCUAGAGUGUGGGAGAGGUAGGUGGAAUUCUUGGUGUAGGGGUAAAAUCCGUAGAUAUUAGGAGGAACACCAGUGGCGAAGGCGAUCUGCUGGACAGCAACUGACGCUGAGGCGCGAAAGCGUGGGGAGCAAACAGGAUUAGAUACCCUAGUAGUC
rnacentral:rRNA from 1 species